rnacentral:misc_RNA from 1 species
AACUGAUACUACCUGCGGGAACCUGCGGAGGGAUCAUUAUAGAGUUUUCUAAACUCCCAACCCAUGUGAACUUACCUUUUGUUGCCUCGGCAGAGGUUACCUGGUACCUGGAGACAGGUUACCCUGUAGCAACUGCCGGUGGACUACUAAACUCUUGUUAUUUUAUGUAAUCUGAGCGUCUUAUUUUAAUAAGUCAAAACUUUUAACAACGGAUCUCU